AAGUCCGUAGUUUGACGCGCGCACAUUCUUGAAAGGCUAAUUUUUUUGGUGGUUACUUCUGUCUAGGUCGGUCGACGAUAUCUCACAAAAAAAAAACAAAAAAAAAACCUUGAAAUAUGCGAUAUGUGAUUUUGUCAAUGAAUGGAAGAUUGGUCUGGGGUAAAUGACCAUGAGUCAAUUUUACAAACUGAAAGAAGUCAGGCGGGGGUCAGAUGUUAUUGUGAAGUGGACAGACAGAAAAGCCUACCCAGCAAAUACUCUGGAUCUAGGAGGAGAUGAUUGGGUCAUUCUCAUUAAGAAAAAACACGAGAUAUGUCUUGUGAAGGGAAAGCGGAAAAAAGAUUUAACGAGUUAUGUCUAAUGAGGAGACCGUCACUCAAGCAGCAACUGUGAAGAGGGAAUUCCCUGGAACACAUGACACUGCUAUCAAGCUAGCCAUUAGAAAGAAGUUUGGCAAUGAAAUGAAGCAGCUACGGAGAAAUGAAAAUAGUGUAAUUAUUCCUCAACACAAAAACAGCUCAUAGUUUUCUACUUUUAGCUUGUACUUAUUGUUUUUGUGUAUCGUAUUUCGAUAUUAUUUUAGUUCAUUGUCAGGUUUUAGUUUAACAGAGGUAAUUACAGUAGUUUUCAAUGUAAAUGGUUUCCUAUUUGUAUUCAUUAGUGCUUAUUCCUUUAAUACCUCAUACUUUAGCACUUAGUCUAUGCUAUGUGGUCCAGUUAUGUUCUUAAUAAAAUGUCAAGUUAGUGUAGGACAAUUUAGCUGAAGAGCUAAAUUAUAGUUUUUAAAAUGCUUCAAUUUGUGUUAAUGUUUUACUCCAUUAUUGAGUGUAUUUAGUAGGAUGAUGUGUUGUCCUAAGUGCUUGUAAUGUUAAUGCCUUCUAAUCAGAUUUUCUGUGAUUGAAUCAAUAUGUUUACACAAAUUGUGUUGCCAUUAAAUAUAAUAAA